UUAUUGUUUUCCCAUACCAUAGCUCGACUGAAGCAAUCAUUUCUUCUCUCUUCUUUCCAGUUUGUGACACUCACUAAGCCACUUCCAUUCUUCUAAAGUCUUUAUUCCACUCUCCUACUUAGCCUGUUAAUAUUACCAUUGCUUAAGACUGUUGAAACUUCAUCUUCAUACAUUCAAAUGGCAUCAUCUUGGACCCCAAGGCAAAAUAAACAAUUUGAAAGAGCCCUGGCUAAAUAUGAUAGAGAAACCCCAGAUAGAUGGCAGAAUGUUGCUAACGAGGUGGGAAAAUCGGUUGAGGAGGUUAAAAGGCACUAUGAGAUCCUCAAAGAAGAUAUCAGACGCAUUGAGCGUGGUCAAGUGGCAUUCCCCUACAGAACAAACAAUUCUAACAGUAAUUAAGGCAUUGUGUUGAACAGCACAGGUUAUCGAUCCAGAAUCCAACAAACUUGAAGACUCAUGACGAUUACAAUCACAUCCGCAAUAACUUAACAAAUAAAAGGAAGUACCAUCAGCAGUGAACAAUAUAAAAGUUUAUCUGUAAGCAACCAUGUGAAAGCUAUUGUUAAGAAAAAAUGUAUUAAGUAGAUGUAUUUACAAAUUAAUCGUGUUUAUGAACCAGUACUAAUUAUUAAUAAAGAAUUAGUUAUUUGUCUA